UACGUAGGGGGCAAGCGUUGUCCGGAUUUACUGGGCGUAAAGCGCCUGUAGGCGGCCUGUCAAGUCCGGCCUGAAAGCCCCCCGCUCAACGGGGGAGGGUGGCUGGAAACUGGCAGGCUUGAGGGCGAGAGAGGAGGGUGGAAUUCCUGGUGUAGCGGUGAAAUGCGUAGAUAUCUGGAGGAACACCGGUGGCGAAGGCGGCAUCCUGGACCAAUACUGACACUGAGGAGCGAAAGCCAGGGGAGCAAACGGG
rnacentral:rRNA from 1 species